CAGCAGCCGCGGUAAUACGUAGGUCCCGAGCGUUGUCCGGAUUUAUUGAGCGUAAAGCGAGCGCAGGCGGUUAGAUAAGUCUGAAGUUAAAGGCUGUGGCUUAACCACAGUACGCUUUGGAAACUGUUUAACUUGAGUGCAAGAGGGGAGAGUGGAAUUCCAUGUGUAGCGGUGAAAUGCGUAGAUAUAUGGAGGAACACCGGUGGCGAAAGCGGCUCUCUGGCUUGUAACUGACGCUGAGGCUCGAAAGCGUGGGGAGCAAACAGGAUUAGAUACCCGCGUAGUCCUGUCUCUAUACACA
rnacentral:rRNA from 1 species